AGCUGAGAGAGUAUCAGCAGAAGAACAGCCCGGGUGUCCCUGCAGGAGCAAAGAAGAAGAAAAAGAUUAAAAAUGGCCAUAGUCCAGAGAGAACCUCUGCCAGUGAUUGUCAGUCAGCAGAGAAUGUGCCCACAGACCACACUGCUCCUGCACCACCAAGUACUGCUGCUGCCACUAUGUUUCUUGGUGUCGUCCCUUCCCCCGAUGCUGAUCUCAUUCAGAGCCACGAUGCUGGCAAUUGCUCUAACCUCAUGGAGGAGACCAAGACUUUCUCAUCGACUGAGAGUCUGCGACAACUUUCUCAACAGCUCAAUGGCCUUGUGUCUGAGUCUACAUCCUACAUCAACGGGGAGGGCCUCACGUCUUCCAACAUGAAGGAAC
rnacentral:lncRNA from 1 species